ACUUAAAUUGAAGAGUUUGAUCAUGGCUCAGAUUGAACGCUGGCGGCAGGCCUAACACAUGCAAGUCGAGCGGUAGCACAGAGAGCUUGCUCUCGGGUGACGAGCGGCGGACGGGUGAGUAAUGUCUGGGAAACUGCCUGAUGGAGGGGGAUAACUACUGGAAACGGUAGCUAAUACCGCAUAACGUCGCAAGACCAAAGUGGGGGACCUUCGGGCCUCAUGCCAUCAGAUGUGCCCAGAUGGGAUUAGCUAGUAGGUGGGGUAACGGCUCACCUAGGCGACGAUCCCUAGCUGGUCUGAGAGGAUGACCAGCCACACUGGAACUGAGACACGGUCCAGACUCCUACGGGAGGCAGCAGUGGGGAAUAUUGCACAAUGGGCGCAAGCCUGAUGCAGCCAUGCCGCGUGUGUGAAGAAGGCCUUCGGGUUGUAAAGCACUUUCAGCGGGGAGGAAGGCGGUGAGGUUAAUAACCUCAUCGAUUGACGUUACCCGCAGAAGAAGCACCGGCUAACUCCGUGCCAGCAGCCGCGGUAAUACGGAGGGUGCAAGCGUUAAUCGGAAUUACUGGGCGUAAAGCGCACGCAGGCGGUCUGUCAAGUCGGAUGUGAAAUCCCCGGGCUCAACCUGGGAACUGCAUUCGAAACUGGCAGGCUAGAGUCUUGUAGAGGGGGGUAGAAUUCCAGGUGUAGCGGUGAAAUGCGUAGAGAUCUGGAGGAAUACCGGUGGCGAAGGCGGCCCCCUGGACAAAGACUGACGCUCAGGUGCGAAAGCGUGGGGAGCAAACAGGAUUAGAUACCCUGGUAGUCCACGCCGUAAACGAUGUCGAUUUGGAGGUUGUGCCCUUGAGGCGUGGCUUCCGGAGCUAACGCGUUAAAUCGACCGCCUGGGGAGUACGGCCGCAAGGUUAAAACUCAAAUGAAUUGACGGGGGCCCGCACAAGCGGUGGAGCAUGUGGUUUAAUUCGAUGCAACGCGAAGAACCUUACCUGGUCUUGACAUCCACAGAACUU
rnacentral:rRNA from 1 species